UACGUAGGGUGCAAGCGUUGUCCGGAAUUAUUGGGCGUAAAGAGCUCGUAGGCGGUUUGUCGCGUCUGCUGUGAAAACUCGGGGCUUAACCCCGGGUCUGCAUUCGAUACGGGCUAGCUAGAGUGUGGUAGGGGAGAUCGGAAUUCCUGGUGUAGCGGUGAAAUGCGCAGAUAUCAGGAGGAACACCGGUGGCGAAGGCGGAUCUCUGGGCCAUUACUGACGCUGAGGAGCGAAAGCGUGGGGAGCGAACAGG
rnacentral:rRNA from 1 species